rnacentral:rRNA from 1 species
GAUUUUGACAUCCCGGUGACCGGGACUUAACCGUCCCUUCUCUUCGGAGCACUGGAGACAGGUGGUGCAUGGUUGUCGUCAGCUCGUGUCGUGAGAUGUUGGGUUAAGUCCCGCAACGAGCGCAACCCCUAUCUUUAGUAGCCAGCAUUUCGGAUGGGCACUCUAGAGAGACUGCCAGGGACAACCUGGAGGAAGGUGGGGAUGACGUCAAAUCAUCAUGCCCCUUAUGACCAGGGCUACACACGUGCUACAAUGGCGUAAACAAAGGGAAGCAAGCAUGUGAAUGUGAGCAAAUCCCAAAAAUAACGUCUCAGUUCGGAUUGUAGUCUGCAACUCGACUACAUGAAGCUGGAAUCGCUAGUAAUCGCGAAUCAGAAUGUCGCGGUGAAUACGUUCCCGGGUCUUGUACACACCGCCCGUCACACCAUGGGAGUCAGUAACGCCCGAAGCCGGUGACCCAACCAAUCGGAGGGAGCCGUCGAAGGUGGGACCGAUAACUGGGGUGAAGUCGUAACAAGGUAACCG